AUCUCUUUGAAGGAGUGUACAACAGCACCUGAGAAGCAUGUGCUUGCAGACGCCACAUCUCAUAAACUAGACACAGAAGAAUCGGAGGAUGACUGUCUGCAUGCUGAAAGCUCUCAUUUGGAUGGAGAUCAAGUGGCCACGGUAUCAGAUGGUGUUUCGGACUUGCAGGAUUUACAAAGAAGAAUUAAAGCUAUUGAAAAGGCAUUUUUCCACAAAUCAGGUAGAAAUUCGGAGAUGGGGUUGGUAACACUAUGAAGAAGCGUGAAUUCAAAUAACCGUGGAAGACCUGAAGAGGAAGGUGGAGAUUACUGAAAAGAGCAAAAAGGGCAAAGGUAUUGAAUUUGAAAACGUGAAGGGGCAGCUGGAAGAAGCUGACGAGGCCAUCACUAAGUUGUUUGA